rnacentral:rRNA from 1 species
GGACCUACACAAGCGGUGGAUCACGUGGCUUAAUUCGACAGUAAGCGAGGAACCUUACCAGGGCUUGACAGACUAUUGAAGACACUUCGAAAGAUGUGUUUACCCGCAAGGGACAGUAGUCCAGGUGCUGCAUGGUUGUCGUCAGCAGGUGGCUUGAGUUGCUCCCUUAAAUGGGGUAACCUGCGCAACCCUUGUCCUAUGUUUCAUGUGUCAUAGGAGACUGCCUGGGACGACCAGGAGGAAGGUGAGGAUGACGCCAAAUCAGCAUGGCCUUUUGAUGCCCUGGGCUGCACACGUGAUACAAUGGAGCCGACAAUGGGAUGCCAAAGAGUAAUCUGGAGCAAAUCCUAACAAACGGCCCCUCAAUACGGAUUGAGGUCUGAAACCCGACCUCAUGAAGCCGGAAUCGCUAGUAACCGCAGAUCAGCCACGCUGCGGUGAAUAUGUCCCUGGGUCUU